GGGGGCGUAACGGUUUCGACGGGGAGCUGUGGCGCGAGAGGUAGCGAGUCGAGAUCCCACCAACUCGUUAAACGGUGGAAAGCACUAUAAGUGCCAACAACGAAUACGCACUCGCUGCUUAAUUAAAGCAGCCGUCCAAUCC
rnacentral:tmRNA from 1 species